GACAGAUGGUUCGGUAAGCAAAAUCAAAACUGACAAUGGCAAAGAAGUCCAGGUUGCCGGCGCCUGCGCCUGGUUCAGCGAUUCUCGCGUUGUCUACGUGAAUCCAAAUGGCGCCGGGUGCACAAACACUAUUACGAGAGCUGAACUGGCAGCAAUUCGUGCUGCCCUCGCAGAAUUUGGUGGCGAAGGUAAAGAAUUUGCAACUAAGAAGCUCACUAUUGCAUCAGAUUCUGUUGCAAGCUUGUACCUAAUCAAACGAGCAAUUAACGAGCCUCGGCGACUGCAUCUGAGUAAACAUCGGGACCUCCUGGAUUCAGUCGUGGCAUUGCUCCAUGCACGCCACGCCCGGGGCGCACCCACCGCCCUGAUUAAAGUGAUCUCGCACACCGGGCUACACGGCAACGAGGAAGCCGAUAAAGGGGCGGCUGCCGUCGCCACCCAGGAAAAACCCGCCGAUGUAUCCGAACCGGCCGACAACGACCCGCACGCCCGGCACUNNNNNNNNNNNNNNNNNNNNNNNNNNNNNNNNNNNNNNNNNNNNNNNNNNNNNNNNNNNNNNNNNNNNNNNNNNNNNNNNNNNNNNNNNNNNNNNNNNNNCCCAUGGACGCCGAUAGCCCGACGCUGCCCCUGACCGCCCCGGCAGCGCAAGCUGCGGGAGGCCAUGGGGCCCGUCCCAGCUGGCGACUGGCCCGCGCAAGGAUCACACACGAUCUAGUCCCACGGCCCGCCGACAACCGCACUAACGGUGACACUCAACUCACCUACGCCCUGGACAAUGACGGUCCUGCACAGCGAAAACAAACAAACUGUCACGGACAAAGACCUGACACGGAAGCGCAAAGCCAGAGAGGACACCUCUGGGACACGUGAAAAUACUGGAAGGUGCAGUGGAAGCCGUCCAUUUGCCCGGCCGGCAUUGUCUCUGCUUUUGUUCGCAUGGGCUACGCAACUAUCCAGAAUGCCAGGUGUUAUAAGCACCCUCUUGCGACGCGCCCAUGCCCACAACCUGCGCAGACCGAGGCUGAGCCUCCGGCUGAAACCCAAGCCCACGCAAUCUCACCUGAAGAGCCUGCCCAAGCUGCAGAGCCGGCAGCACCGCAGCCCACUGGGGCCCCCCUAUUCUCGUCCUGGACGACCAAACUCCUACGACAUGUCACGUGGGCGCCAAGCACGGACCGUGAACGGGACCUAAAACACAGUCCACAAUGGGAGGAGUUACUGGAGGAGUGCAAAACCCGGCUAGCAAACGGUACCAACCAAGGCCCGCGGCCCCGAACAGUGCGCCCCGCACCUGAUCGGAACCUUACCGCCAGACAGCGCCAAGGCCGCCACGACGCCGAGCACCUGGAUACCGCAUCCCGCGCGCGUGACAUCCGCACGACCACCACCAUCACCACAAGCCCGUGCAACCCCUACAAGGACAUCGUGGCCCCCGGAGCAUACACAAUUACCACCACUGGUGGCACCCGCCGUGGCCCAGCUGAGGCGCACGUCCAUGAACCCAGUGGCCGCUGGCUGGGCACCAUCACCUACCCCCGCCUCCUUACCCUGUGGGAGCACUUCAGGCACACCGGCAACCAGCGGCCCAACGCCUUUGAGGAAGCGGUCGCUGCCCUCAUCAUGCGCUACCGCUAUGACCCGGCGCAGCAGGACCGCAAGGCCAUGCCAAUGCACCAGGUGUCGCUGCCGGCAGGCACAGUAGCAGCCAUCGUCCAAUGCCUGCGGGUCACACAAGCAGUACACAUUCGGGAAAUGUUUGCGUCCCCACUAAACUCCUCCACUGCAGCCCACGAAUACUGGACACGAGACCCUGCUGAUGGGGCCUUUGGCGCACUGCACGAUGCCUACCAGACCGCAUGGACCGGCUUGCAAUAUGCCCACCCCCCCUCUACCCCCCACGAUGCACGGAAGGCGCUCAUGUGGGCCCUCGCAUGCGCCGAGGCUAUGCGUGACUCACAGGAACCAACCCUUACUGUAUUGGCGCUUCCCAAAGCGGCCACUUUCCCCCACACGCAGUGGCUUCAACACCCACUUUGCCACGAGCUGGCCAACUGGUCCGCGGGCACCGCGGGCCUUGACACAGGACUUGGCACCAACACCCAGGCUGAACGCCAGAAGGGGCUCCGACUGGUCAUUGUUGGGAACCCCGCCGGACUCCAGUGCUUUGCCCCCCGCCUGAAACGGCUCGUGGACACACUGAAACGGGGGGCGAACGCACCCACGCACAUCAGCGACCCGCGCACGUGGACACACACGGCCACGGCCCCAACCUGCCCGGCCCUCCCAAACUCACUUCUAAAGCAAGCCAAAUACCAGCACGCUAACCCAAAGACGAUACACGCCAUGGCUGACGAAGCACGACGCUUUCCUAACGCGCGAUUCCAGACCCACCAUGCUCUGGCCCACGACGUGAAUGGCACUGUCUGGACAGAUGGUUCGGUAAGCAAAAUCAAAACUGACAAUGGCAAAGAAGUCCAGGUUGCCGGCGCCUGCGCCUGGUUCAGCGAUUCUCGCGUUGUCUACGUGAAUCCAAAUGGCGCCGGGUGCACAAACACUAUUACGAGAGCUGAACUGGCAGCAAUUCGUGCUGCCCUCGCAGAAUUUGGUGGCGAAGGUAAAGAAUUUGCAACUAAGAAGCUCACUAUUGCAUCAGAUUCUGUUGCAAGCUUGUACCUAAU
rnacentral:lncRNA from 1 species